UACGUAGGUGGCAAGCGUUGUCCGGAAUCACUGGGCGUAAAGCGCGCGCAGGCGGCGAUCUACGUCUGGGGUGAAAGCCCGGAGCUCAACUCCGGGACUGCCUUGGAUACGGGAUCGCUUGAGGAUUGGAGAGGCAAGGGGAAUUCCACGUGUAGCGGUGAAAUGCGUAGAGAUGUGGAGGAACACCUGUGGCGAAGGCGCCUUGCUGGCCAAUUACUGACGCUGAGGCGCGAAAGCGUGGGGGAGCAAACAGG
rnacentral:rRNA from 1 species